GCCAUAUAGCGUUGAAACACCAGUUCCCGUACGAUCACCGAAGUUAAGCAACGUCGAGACUAUUCAGUACUUAGAUGGGUAACCGAUUGGAAAUAACAGGUGCUGUA